GAACAUUCUAUCUAAGAAAUUGGUUGAAUGAGGCAAAAAAGUCGGGAUAGGUAGAAGGGGAAACUCUCUUUUUCCCAAUCGCCCAUGGCGAAAACAAAGAUGGCGUAGACCCGGUCAGGUAGUUAGGGAAUUCGCACUCGCUGUAACAGAACUUGAUGGGCGAGCUCUUUACAGUGGGGGAUUCUAGGCUGGCUAGGGAUAUUUAUAAGCUCUAUAGAUUAAGGGAUAUUAGAUAGAGGCUGGCUUAAAGGAGCUCCCCGCAAUGGGACUGCUGGAAAAGGCCUGAUGAAAAAGCUUAAAAACUCAUUUGCUUUUGUCCGAGAAUCCGCUUGCUCGGCUCUUUUUCUUAAUAAAAUAGAUGUCUAGCCCUUAUCCUGCUAACGACGAACUUCUAUAUGUAACCUAGCAAGGAAAGCCUAAACAAAGCGUCACUCCUAGUAGUGCACUCACUCUCACUUCCUUUUACAGCAACCUAUUAAAAAAAAGCCGAGUCUAUUUCAAGGAAAUUGUCCGGUAUUCACUUAUAUUAUCUCGAGUAAUCGAAUCGCCCGCUUCAGGCUAGAGAGAAGAGAAAAAGAAAGAAGGCCUUGGACCGGAAAGAAUUCUUUUUUGAUUUCUCGACUAAUUCAAUUGGUUGCGGGCCGCCUUUCUAUAGGAUAGGCUCCCGGUCCUAUUCCUGUUCAGAGAGAUCUUCAUUCAGGAAAGGUAAGGACUCAGAAUCAAGCCAUUGCCAGCCCCCUCCUCAUGGAGGGACCAGACGAAGGACGCUGUGCGCUAGUCGGAACUUUCAGCGGUUGGCAUGUGGAACCAAUAAUCCCAUCUGUCCUGUCUAUAGGCCUAUGCCUUUCCUUAAUCACUGCGUCGUUACUGACACACUAUCUGACCUUGAAGGUUAUGGUAAGGUUGGUACUCCUUUCUUUAGAAACGAAUCCCCAUUAGCUCUGAAGCUGGGAAAAAAUCCGCUAUGUCCCUAUUCGAAUUCAUUCUCUCAGAAAGACCUGGCUAUUACGAUUGAUUGCUUUAUGGCUGAACAGCCUAUACUCCGUUCUUUAUCUCGUUGAACUUGUAGAAAGUUUCAAAAAAAGAUAGAUAACAGGAAGAGAGAGAGAGAAAGA
rnacentral:lncRNA from 1 species